CCUACGUGAGGCAGCAGUAGGGAAUCUUUCACAAUGGUCGAAAGCCUGAUGGAGCAACGCCGCGUGCAUGAUGAAGGCCUUCUGGUUGUAAACUUCUUUUAUAAGCGAGAAAUAUGAUGGUAACUUAUUAUUACCGCUCUGCUAACUACUUGCCAGCCGCCGCGGUCAUACUUAGGAUCCGAGCAUUAUCCGGAGUGACUGUGUGUAACGAGUUGCGUAGGUUGCAUAAUAAGUAGCUAGUGAAAUCUGGUGGCUCAACCAUUCAGACUAUUAGCGAAACUGUUAAGCUCGAGACAGUUAGGGGUAAAUGGAAUUUCAAGUGUAGGGGUGAAAUCCGUAGAUAUAAGAAGGAACACCAAUGGCGUAGGCAGGUUGCUGGGACGGUUCUGACACUAAGGCACGAAAGCGUAGGGAGCAAACGGGAUUAGAUACCCUUGUAGUC
rnacentral:rRNA from 1 species